UCCGUAGGUGAACCUGCGGAAGGAUCAUUAUCUAUUCCAUGAGGUGCGGUCGCGGCCCUCGGCGGGAGCAACAGCUACCGUCGGGCGGUAGAGGUAACACUUUCACGCGCCGCAUGUCUGAAUCCUUUUUUUACGAGCACCUUUCGUUCUCCUUCGGCGGGGCAACCUGCCGUUGGAACCUAUCAAAACCUUUUUUUGCAUCUAGCAUUACCUGUUCUGAUACAAACAAUCGUUACAACUUUCAACAAUGGAUCUCUUGGCUCUGGCAUCGAUGAAGAACGCAGCGAAAUGCGAUAAGUAGUGUGAAUUGCAGAAUUCAGUGAAUCAUCGAAUCUUUGAACGCACAUUGCGCCCCUUGGUAUUCCAUGGGGCAUGCCUGUUCGAGCGUCAUCUACACCCUCAAGCUCUGCUUGGUGUUGGGCGUCUGUCCCGCCUCUGCGCGCGGACUCGCCCCAAAUUCAUUGGCAGCGGUCCUUGCCUCCUCUCGCGCAGCACAUUGCGCUUCUCGAGGUGCGCGGCCCGCGUCCACGAAGCAACAUUACCGUCUUUGACCUCGGAUCAGGUAGGGAUACCCGCUGAACUUAAGCAUAUCAAUAAGCGGAAGA
rnacentral:rRNA from 1 species